rnacentral:rRNA from 1 species
GACGAACGCUGGCGGCGUGCCUAAUACAUGCAAGUCGAACGCAGUGGGGACGGGUGAGUAACACGUGGGUAACCUCCCAUCAGAGGGGAUAACACUUGGAAACAGGUGCUAAACCGAUACUGAUGGAUGGACCCGCGGUGCAUUAGCUAGUUGGUGAGGUAACGGCGCACCAAGGCCACGAUGCAUAGCCGACCGGAGAGGUGGAGCGGCCACACUGGGACGGAGACACGGCCCAGACGCCUACGGGAGGCAGCAGUAGUGCAUCUUAGGCCAUGGACGAAAGUCUGACCGAGCAACGCGGCGUGAGUGAAGAAGGUUUUCGGAUCGUAAAACACUGUUGUUCGAGAAGCGAUACCUAACCAGAAAGCCACGGCUAACUACGUGCCAGCAGCCGCGGUAAUAC